rnacentral:rRNA from 1 species
CCUACGAGUGGCAGCAGUAGGGAAUCUUCCACAAUGGACGAAAGUCUGAUGGAGCAACGCCGCGUGAGGGAAGAAGGGUUUCGGCUCGUAAAGCUCUUUUGGUAGUGAAGAAAAAUAGAGGUAGUAACUGGCCUUUAUUUGACGGUAAUUACUUAGAUAGUCACAGCUAACUACGUGCCAGCCGCUGCGGUAAUACGUAGGAGGCAAGCGUUGUCCGGUUUUAUUGGGCGUAAAGCGAGGGCAGGCGGUUUAAGAAGUCUGAUGUGAAAGCCUUCGGCUCAACCGGAGAAUUGCAUCAGAAACGGUUGAACUUGAGUGCAGAAGAGGAGAGUGGAACGCCAGGUGUAGCGGUGGAAUGCGUAGAUAUAUGGAAGAACACCAGUGGCGAAGGCGGCUCUCUGGUCUGCAACUGACGCUGAGGCUCGAAAGCAUGGGUAGCGAACAGGAUUAGAUACCCUAGUAGUC